ensembl:lncRNA
CAGUUAUCCAACCUUGUUGUGGCAGCAAGUACCAGUGUUCUUGACUUUGGAUGCUAUCAUUUUUGAUGGUUGGAGCUUAUAUCAACCACAACAGAAGAAAGUGCUUGAGUGAAUUAAUGGAGAAACAUUGUACAACCUAAAGAAUUCACAAGUUUCAUGUACUGAAGGGCAAGAUGUCACAUUUCACAGAACUGAUAUGCUUCUGAGAAUUGACAUGGGACAGCCUGAGAAGGAAGGCGUAAAGAUCCAUUUUCACUUUGGAUGGCUUUGCUGCACAGAAAACAAGAUCUGAUCCCCUUGUUUGACUACUGGGAUUACAGGCGCACCUUCUAAAGACAACCAAAGAGCCCUUCAGCCCAAGCAAACAGUUGACCUGAGAAGCCUGCAGAAGGAUUAUUUUCAAGUGCAGGGGCCUUCCAAUCAGUUGUAGAGGCCCAGGAACACUGCAGCUUAAAAAAUCAAAUGAAUGGAGAAAAAAGGGAGUUCUUCUUAGAACAACAUUUGCUAGCUGCCUCUUCAGAUAAGGAAAUGUGCAGCACAAUGUGUGUGCUGGCCAGCCUCCAAAUAGCACCAUGAAUCCCUGGAACACGUCCCGGAAUUUGUAUCUGAGCAAAAGAUGUCUGGAAAGAGCACAUUGCUGGCUUUCCAAGAGGAGAAUCCACUUGGUUCUGAGCAAGGGGGAUGAUGUUGAAUCCAAUAGGAAAUGUGCUGGUUGUGUUUCUGAAUGGCAUUUAUAGCUUUUAAUAGUGAAAGAUCAAUAGGUCAUCUUCCUUGUAUUUUAGGUCCAACUUUCCUUACACUAUCACAGCAUGCACAUACAGGGCAACAUUUUUUUUUCUUCUUGUACAAAUCUCAACAUGCCAAGGAAUGAAUGCUGAUACACGUCUUCACAGUAUUUAGAUUUCAUCUACAAACGAAGCUUCAGCAUUCUAGUAUGUCAAUGCUUGUUAAUCUGAGAAAGCCAGCAAUACUUUUAAGUCACAUUAAGGCUCCAUCGAUUUCUUAAGAAGCUGAAUGAAAUGAGAUUAAAAAAAAAUUAUUCAUGGAUAAUAAAAAUGUAACUGCAUUUGGUUCUAUGAUUAAGUGCGGGAGCAGUUAGGGGAAGAGCAAAGCUUCUUAGCAGCUAUUAUGGGGACAGAACAGCCAAUUAAAAUUCCAGCUGCAGAGGGAGAGAAAUGUUCAAUCUGGGGUAAUAAUAAUAAUCAGGCAUAGAGAAUUUUAAAGGAAACAUAUUGCUUUUUGGUCCCAAAUUAGUUGAUGUUCUGAAAGGUCAAUUGCAGUGGGUGUGACUGAGCAAUCAUGAGUACUUGGAACUAUGGUUCUCAUC